rnacentral:misc_RNA from 1 species
CCAAUAGCGUAUAUUAAAGUUGUUGCAGUUAAAAAGCUCGUAGUUGAAUUUCGGGACCAAUCUGCCGGUCGUGCCUCUGGUACGCACUGGUUUUAUUGGUUUCUCCCUUCUGACGAACCAUGAUGUCAUUAAUUUGGUGUCAUGGGGAAUCAGGACUGUUACUUUGAAAAAAUUAGAGUGUUUAUAGCAGGCUCACGCUUGAAUACAUUAGCAUGGAAUAAUGAAAUAGGACGUUUGACCCUAUUUUGUUGGUUUCUAGGAUCGACGUAAUGAUUAAUAGGGAUAGUUGGGGGCAUUAGUAUUCAAUUGUCAGAGGUGAAAUUCUUGGAUUUAUUGAAGACGAACUACUGCGAAAGCAUUCGCCAAGGAUGUUUUCAUUAAUCAGUGAACGAAAGUUAGGGGAUCGAAGACGAUCAGAUACCGUCGUAGUCUUAACCAUAAACUAUGCCGACUAGGGAUCGGAUGAUGUUAAUUUUUUAAUGACUCAUUCGGCGCCUUACG